ACGAAGGGCUUGUCAGGAUGCGCUUGUCAAGUAAGCCUGACCGCCGUGGCGUGUGAGGGAAGAGGAGGAAGAGGGGGAAAGUUGAAGAGUCUGUUGGGAAAUCGAUCUGAGGUCCGUGCUGGGAUGGUUUUCAGACGAGUCAUUCACGAACAAAGCCGAGCUGAUGCAGCUGGCUGUACAGACAACCCAUCCUCGUUAGGUUCUGGUUCCGAGAGCAGCGGAGAACCGGCUCGACAAAUUAUUUAGGCUCACUAUAGACUCCAAACUGCUCUCCAGCUUCUUUAGGUUGUUUCCUCACAAGUUUCACUCAGUAGGACCUGAUUACUGUGAGCUGCAUUAGUGAAGAAGAAACCCUCCUGAUUAUUCGGCGACACGCAGGUGAUGGAGGUUUUAAGUUGGAAGUACUUGCUAUGCUUUCUUUCUCCUCGCCUGAUUUAGAUCCACCCAUUAUUCCAUCUCAGUUUGGAAAACUCUCAGAGGGUUGGAGAACUGUAAGCAUGGAUGCGUUGGAGAUCCACCUGCUCUGGAAACCAUCUAUCCUGGGUGUCAGUCAGGGACCAACCAGCUGCUUGUGGUUCUCCUAAAAACAAGACAGAAACUCGAGGGGUUCGAGCGGAUCUGUUUUAUGUUGUUGGGUCCAGCCAUGGAUUACAACAUUAAAGGCCAGUAAGAACUUUUCUGGAAGUUUACUUUCAAAAUUAAACACAGGAACCUACUUCCAGCGCAGCCAGGAACAGAAGAAAGAAGAGAGUAAGAGCGGACUUUCCGGAACGUCACUGUUUGAAUAAAAACCCACGUUCCAACAAACAGAUCUCUUCUAAUGUCUGUUGCUGGCAAGCAGACAUAACUCUUAAAACUGGAUCCAGAGUGACUACGAUCACAUGCAACAAAGUUAAGUAAUGAUUUGCUGUUCGAGUAUCUGGCAUUCAUUCAUGUAAAGGGUGUAAUGAGACAAACUUGACUCGGCUUUUCUUCUGAGGCCUCCAGAAGCAGCCCUAAUCAAAGCAGAUUUCCCCCACGGCCUGGAAAAGAAGGCCGGGACCGCAUCAUAGCGAGAGUUACCCGGCCGCAUUUCGGCCACUCAAGGAGUCAAAUGUGCCUUUGUCAUACGGUUCUGCCGGGCCAGUAGAACGAGCCGCCCCACCCCACAGCUGCAAGUAACCCUUUGUUUAGCCACAUGUGGAUGUUUUCCUCAACACUCAGGACAACUUCUCCUCAGCACGGUUCACGUAAGAGGGUGUGACUGGCAGGUGCUGCUGCACAGGUGUUGCUCGAGAGCAAUCAGCUGUGCUUCUUAUGGAAUGGAAACCCAGAGGGAGGCAUCAGCUCGUUUUCUCACUUGAUCACCCUUCGCUAAAGGAAGUCGUGGAAACUUUCUGGUCUCCGUUUUCACUCGUAUCAUGUUCGGAGGAGUUUGGGAACUCCAGCCUCGACACCUCAGCCCUGAGCCUCCUCUUUGCUUCCAACUCCAAGCCCAACUUCUCAGGAGCCAUCUGAGAACCACCCAUCAACCUGCAAGUCCACCCUCCAAUGUUUAACUCUCCAACCAUAGUGGAGUUUCCUGGAAGAGAAGAAACAAAGCACUUAAUCUUCCGAAAACUGUUCACAGCCUGUCAGCCUCAAGCCACCAUGGAGAAGGACUUAUUUCUCCCCCGGUCUUUCCAAGAACUCAACCCCUAGAGACCCCGCGUUUGUCCGCCAGAUCCAGUCCUGGUUCCAGUCCAACCUUUAUCUGUGUUUCUAAAUUAACUGUAAAACGUUGUCUUUGUCCUCGUGGUUGUGUACCUCAGAGUCUAAGAAAACCCCAUUAUGACAUAAAUUGGACUUGAGUUGGAAACAUCUGCAGGAGGAAGGAUGUUCAAACUUCCACUCAGCACUCCAUUAAAGGUACAAAUGAAUACCGCACUCUGUGAACAACAGCAGACCCUCGGUGUCUGCUGGACAACCGUCAAGUCAGCAGUCUUUCCCAUGAUUGUGUCAGCCAUGUCAUCAAAACUUUUUGUAUUAAAACGUAUUUCUUUAUUGUUCUGUUUUAAU